rnacentral:misc_RNA from 1 species
AAGUAGGUAUUUUUUAAAUUUAAUUCAAAGGAAAUACGGCGGGUUGAGAACCGUGACACCUUUUACCGCUAUCUGUCGGAGAAUUGUGCUCAACACCCUGACAAUUGUGACCGAGGUAUUCCACCUUAACGCCAGUGAACGGAAGAAGUUUGUGACGUGCUUAACCCAGAUUUUCCACCGUCAAAUGCUCGUGUUUGUACAACAGUUUUCUUAGCAUGUUAUGGAUGUGAAAAUGUGCUAAAUUUAUCGUAAAUUCAUUUAUUACUCAGGUGUUCGUGACAAUGUGUGAUAGCGCUAGCUGCCAGAACGUUAACUAGGUUUUAAAUAUCAAGCUUACGAUAAGUGUGGUGUUGGAGCAGAAGUAAUAUGAACAAUCCAUAUCGUGCGAGACCAGCUAGAGCUAGGGUGGAUCAUGCCGCAGUGUCAGGGUAUGGAUCUCAGAGUCAAAACACUUGGAGUUCUAUGCAGCCUGAGAGACGAUCAGGAAUUUUGCCAGCGAAUGUUUAUCAGCAACAGCCCAAUUCUCUGAUUCAACCUCAGCAGCAGCAGCAGCAGCAGCAACAGCAGCAGCCACAACAGCAAUCUCAUGAUCCCUGGGAUUGGGGUACCGAUAACGGUAAUAAUGGCAAUAGUGAUUCGUGGAAUUCAAACACUGAUCAAAAGUCAGAGUCUCUACAUCAGCUUUCUCAGCAUCAUCAAUUUCCUUCUGGCCGCACCAAUAAUAGUCAAAGUAUACAGAAUCCACAGCAGGGAAUGUAUUAUCCGAAUUUUAACAGAAAUAGUAGACCCAAUGUACUUAAUCAACAGCCUACUUCUGGUGGUAAUAUUCCACGAACGAGUCUAAGCAGAGAAUCUACACCAAGUAAUAAAGAUGGUUAUAAUCAAUACACGCCUUACGAAUAUAAUCAGCCACCACAACAGCAACAGCAACAGCAACAACAAUAUCAUUUACCACCUAGGCCUAAUUCUAAGUCAAGUCCUGCUGAUCAUUCGCAAUGGUCUAUCAGCAGUCAACAGACACCAAAUUUACCGUCCCUUGGUAAUAAUUCAGGUGCUCAGCUGGAUAACAUAAAAAAAAUACAGACUCCUCCACUUCCUCCUCAAACAAAUACCUACAAUUGGAACAAUAGCGACCAACAGUUGGAUCCUUCGCUUCGUAACUGGCAAAAUCAUAAUGCCACGUCAGUCAGUGGGUCCUGGCAAGAACCAUCGUUGGUAGCAAACAAGCAACAGCCCAUAGAAAAUAUUAAUCAGUCUCAACAGGGGCAACAGACUUCUCAAACGUUUGAUCCACCUAAGGAAUAUACUUCGCCAGGACAAUCCGAAUACUACACUAACUGGAACAGUCAACAACAUCAACAGAGUAAUUUGACUAAUCAAUGGCCCUCAAAUUAUUCACGCAAUACUUCAAAUGAAGCAACACAGCCUAUUCUGCAUCAGAAUAUGGGAACUACGGUUAUGAAUCAGUGGCAACAGCCAAUGUUUCAGCCACCUGUUCCUGCUGAAGAACCAGUAGGCACACAAUCCACUCCAUCAAUACUCAAUCAAGCUGAUCAAAAUGUUCCUUCAAAUCAAUGGCAACCACGGCAACCUCAAUAUGAAAAUGUAAUGCCAAAAGAUUGGACCCCUGCACAAAGGCCUGUGGAAUUGGUAGCUUCGGAAAAGGAUUCAAUUUCUGCACCUCAUCAACAACAUGACUCUCUUGAAUCAGCAAAAAAUAAUAAAAGUAUAAACGAUUGGCAACAUGCUCAGUCUCCUCCGUCACAUUUUGCAUCAUCAACAGGCUCUGCAGUUUCUCAUACAUCUAACACUGCGGAGCAAAUUCUAAGUGGUAACAAUCACAAUAAUGAAAGGAAGAGAUCUGUGGGUAUAUUAUCACCGAGUUCCUCGUUUGUAAAUGACUUGCCGAUACCAACAAAACCUAAUGCAAUUGAAAAAAAAAUUUCGGAUGAAUCAAAUUGGCCUGACGGUGAUGUUAAUGUAGCUUCAAAUGCUAUGGCUCAAAAUAACACCGAGGCAGAUUGGUCGACGACUGCGGAAUGGAAUACUAUUCCCACUGCCGAGUUGUCUAGUAGUUUUAGUCAUUUACGGCUUUCUAACAAAUCUAAUAGGCAAUUGGAAAAUCAGACCCUUUCAUCUGAUAUGCAUUCCUCAAGUCACUCUACAGAUGGCUGGAGUUCUCAACCUAUUUCAGGGUCAGAAAAUCCAUCAGAUAAUUCACCACGUGAAAGUGUAGCCAGUGCACAGCCAGAACCCUACCGUGAUUCAAGUGAAAGAGCUCAUGCUUUAGAGCCUGAACAAAGUUUGGAUAAUCCACUUACCACAUCUCAGUUUGAGCCUCAAGAACAUGUAUUACCUCAAACACAUCAACCUGAGAACAGUAGGGCUGCCGAAACUGUUCCACAAAAUGCUGGGUAUGAUCAAUGGUAUGCGCAGCGCAAUCCUGUGGCUCAAUCAGAAAAUAGUUGGUAUCGCAAUGAUCAUCAGGGUAAAUCACAAAAGUGGAUGCAUGAGCAGAACAUUGAAAAUUAUGAAAACAUACAGCAGUCUACUGAGUUUGGCAACUUGGAAGUUGUUACCCCUGUCCUGCAGAAACGGAAUAUUUAUGGAUCGCAUGAUUCCAUGAAUAGGGAAACAUUGGACAAUGAACCAAAGGCGAGUGUCAAUCAAAUAAAAGAAUCUAGUACUCCAAGAGACUUUCAAGAAGAUAUUAACAACGUAGAAGUACCUUCACUACUACAGACGCAACAAUCUCUUCAGGUCGAACAGGCCCCUGAUAAUUACGAGUUCGCAUCGAACGAUAGAAACACGUUUUUGGAAACUGGUGAACUAACAGAUUCUCAUCAACAACACGAACCCACUCCACCUAGCCAAGAUGACGAAAAUGACGAAGUUCCUAAUGAUAUUCCAUUCUUAAGGGAAGUUCCUGGUCAGUCUAGUAAUUCUGAUCCUCGUCGAAACGAUCCUACUGGGCAGGAGCAAAAUAUUCAAGUCGGUCCACGAAGCUUGGAUCCUCGUAGAAAUGAUCCGUCAGGUCAAGAACACACUGUUCAAUCAAUAAGAAAUAUCAGUGAUAGAACAGAGCGUAGAGAUGUUCCACCUGGUCAAGAACGCAAUGGUCCAUUACCAUCACGGACCGAUACAGAGCUACCUGAACGUAGAAAUGAUCCUUCUGGCAGAGAAAGGUCAUUACCCCCUCAACCACCUAGAAACGAUAGUGUAACAGACAAUCGAAGAAAUUUAUCGGAAACUAGGCGAAAUGAUCCUUCUGGGGAAGAAUGUUUGCAAUCGCAGCCAGUUGUGUCAGAGCCAGCUGAUCUGAGGGAAGUACCUGGCAGAGGAAACGAAAAUGAAGAACCUGUUCAGCAGGCAGACAGCGGCUUGCGCCAAAUUCCUGGUGGCGCAUCGCCCAGUGAAGAAAUUCAAGUGGCUAACGAUAGGGAUGAUGCAAGAGUAGUUACUGGAUCCCAGGAAGUAGCAGCCCUAAUCCCUGCAAGUACGAAACAUGAUCAAUCGAACGACUCUCUGAGCAAGCGGGAAGAAGCUGUUGGUGCUUCUUUGGGUGAGAGCCAAGGUGGUGCCGGGCAAAUAACCAGAAUUGAUUCCUACGAAGAAGGGGAUGAUGAAGGAUCGGGAAACAGUAGGGAUGAGAGCAGAGAACGUCGAAGGGAAAGAAGUCCAGAACGACGUGGUUAUGAAUACGACAGAAAAAGUAGAUACUACGAUCGUGACCGUGAUCGCGAUUUCGAUGAAGAAUACUAUUAUGAAUCGCGACGAGGAGGUGAUUUUGACCGCACUUAUAAUUCUCAAGAAGAUCUCGAUCGACGAGAAGGUCCGUACAGAGAUGACGAACGGCGUCAUACCAGUAGGGACGAUUUAGAUAGACGGGGAAGAGAUAAAGAUGAUCCAGAUAAUCAAAAAAUAAGAUCUAGGCCAAAGGAUGACCACGAAGAUAGAAGGAGAAGGGAUGACGACAGAAGAAAAGCACGAGAAGAAUUAGAUGCAAGAGGAAGAGACACCAGAGAUUAUGAUCCUAGAUAUUACCGAGACAGAGAAUACACUGAUCGAGACAGAAGAAGAGAGCCCGAUAGGCGAGGGCGCAGAUAUGAAGACUAUGAGCCUCGGGAUCACUACAGACGAGAUUACUAUGAAGAUCUGUAUGCUAGAAACUCCAGGCCAUCCAGUAGAUCAUCUUACAACGACAGAGAUCGAGAUUAUUAUCCUAGGUCAAGAGAUCCACAUUUUGGACAUAAUGUCUACGGUGGUGCAUAUGCGGAUUAUGGUGCAAAUUAUGGAUCCAGUUAUUACGCGUAUUUGGAGAAUAUGCGACGAACUAAUCCUGCUGCUUACAUGGAAUGGUAUCAAAAAUAUUAUGCCUCCCAACACCAACAAGCACAUGCUGUUAGAGGAAAUACUAGCUACCCUGAGGAUAGAGCCAGUGUUCAUUCAGGACGUAGCUCAUGUGACGAAAGUUUAUGUGACAGGACAACUGGAGACAAGCGUACGAUAGGUGAUAUUUCCCUAUUAGAAGAUACGACAAUUGGAUCGGCAAGACUGACUCCAACCAAGUUUUCCACAUCCCAUGUUCAAGCUAGUUUCUCCACUGGCUCGUUGGUUCACGUGCAUGCAAGUUAUCCGGCUGAUGGAGAACUUGCUAGAGUGGAUGUCCUUCGCGUGUCAAGUCUACUCGCACACGAUCCUGUUGUACGAGAACUAGUGGCAUAUCCUGGCCCUCUGAUUAAGCAAGUGGGUGUGACUCACAAGAAGACUAUCAUUGAAUACUGCGAAGCCAAGAUUAAAAAAGCAGAAUGCAGUGAAGAUGUGGAUGAUCCGGCGUCUUAUAUAUUGUUGUAUAAACUUAUGGUGAUGCUGAUUCGACAGAAUGGGAAUGUCGUUGGAGUUGACAUAGCAGAAUUAUUGCUCUCGAAUCAGAAGUCCUACCCAUACACUGGAAAGCAGCGAGAAGUGCGGCUCAGAAGAGAAUCUGUCAUUUCUCAAAAGUCUGUUGGUACAAGCGGUGAUGAGCUUAACAGAGACACCGUUACACCCUUGGACACAGACGAUACUGGAAACCUAAAUAAACCACUUUCCACUGAUCAGGUCACUGAUCACUUUAGGGAAUUGCUUUUAUAUGGUUGCGGCCAAGAGGCAUUGGAAUAUGCAAUGGAUAAGGGACUCUGGGGACAUGCCUUGUUCCUAGCAAGUAAGCUAGAUAAACGAACGCAUGCAUCUGUUAUGACUCGAUUCGCCAAUGGCUUGAUGGCAAACGAUCCGUUACAGACUUUGUAUCAACUACAAUCUGGUCGAGUACCUGCUAGUGUUACCUGUAUCGCAGAGCCAAAAUGGGGUGACUGGCGACCUCAUCUUGCGAUGAUAAUAUCUAACACAUCUCCUAAUCCUGAAAUUAAUCGAAAAUCGAUUACAACCUUGGGCGAUACUUUGUUUGCUCGAAAUCAUGUACACGCAGCCCACUUCUGCUACGUUUUAGCUCAAGUCGAUUUUGGACCUUACGGAAUGCCAAAUAGCAAGCUUGUUCUGCUCGGAUCGAAUCCUCACAAACCAUACAACGUUUUCGUAACAAACGAAGCUAUCAUGCUUACUGAGAUUUACGAGUACGCUCGCAACCUUAGCGAACCUGGUUUUACGCUAAUCGAUCUGCAGACUUUCAAAUAUGGACUGGCUGUAAAAUUGGUGGAUUAUGGACUCACUGAAAAGGCAUUGUUAUACAUCGAACAAAUUGCUGUAAAUAUCACUCGUGAGCCAUCAAAAUACCCGAUUUCGUUUGUGGAAAAGCUUCACAACUUGGGUGACAGAAUUAAGUACAGUGAUCCAGUAUGUAAGGAUUCAAUCGAAGAUGUCGCUAAUCUUGGAUGGUUGAACAGCCUGGUAGAAAUCCUCAAUAAAUACAAGACUGGUGAGAUAAUUAAAGAUGGAACGUAUGACGCACAAAAUGAUAGCACUAACCAACAACGAGAACAGUAUGAAAGUCAGCAAACACAACAGCAAUGGGUUGUAGCUCAGUCUGAAUAUUCAGAUGGUCCAACUUCUCUUAUGGAACCCACUACAUCCGACGUGAAAAGUGAUUGGCAGCCAAUGUCUUUGCCUAACGCAGUUCAAGAUCCGUAUAUACCAAGCGGUCAAACUUCGCAAUACAUCGAAAAUUCAGUUGACUCAGCUCAGCACCAGCAACCGCAAUCGCAGGUAGAUUAUUGGAGACAGCAAAAUUACACUCAACCUGAGUAUAGUGCUCCAGAUUAUUCUACCGAGUGGCAACAACACUCGGAACAGCUCCAAUAUCAGAAUGAACAACCAGACAAUACGGAUAAUGUACAACAAGAAUGGAACUAUGAGUCAGAGAAGGAAGAGAAGCCACCUACGCCUGAUCCUCAUCCAGUGAUAAGUAUGGGACCAUCCACAAAUAAGCAAUACGACCCGUUAGCAGAACUUGACGCUUUGGAUACGCCAGGGCAGACUCCAAAACCAGAUGGAGAAAAAAAGAAAGCACCUGGAAAACAAACGGAAAAGAAAAAUUCAAGCAGUGGGGGUUCGUGGUUUGGAGGAUUCUUCAGCAAACUUGCUCCAAAACCAAAAAAUCAGAUGAUUUUACCUGACGAUAACAACCCAGCAAUUGUGUGGGAUGCAGUUAGCAAAAAGUGGACAAACAAAGAUGCAGAUGGUGAGGAUAGCUCUGGUGCCUUGGCGCCUCCACCAAAAGCUUCGGAAAUGGGUUUCAGACCACCACAAACAGAAUCAGUGCUUCCGCCAAUGACGAUGCAGUUGUCUGGUGACAAUAAAGUGGGCCAACUAAACGACAGUUCUAACAGCAAUGUUCAUAAACCACCUUCUGGAAACAACAUGUUCAAAAUGCCGAGAGGCCGAAGCGCAAGGACAAAUUACAUUGAUAUAAUGAAUCCUGGAGGAUCUAAGACUGGUGGCGUUGCACCAUCUGUAACACCUCCUAUAACUGCUGCUCCGGUACCUCUUGCUGCGUCAUCGCCUCAAUUUUUCAUUCCUGCACCAGUUAAUGAUCCAGGUGCUCCGGUUGACUUUUUGACAUCUGCUUCAGUAGCCAAUGGUGACAUUACGCAGCAGGGGUCUGGGGAGAAGAAUGGCAUAGCCAACUAACAAUUGUUACAAAUACUCUCUCGGUGGAGCUCGGCAAGCUCGCUUUCACGAGAGGUACAGAGCUACACUAUGAGGGAUCCGCGUCUCCUUCAACAAGAAAAGGGACCAAUGAUGUUCAAUCCAACAGACGUGAAGGAUUCCACUCUCAAAAAGGC